AUUUUUUAAAAUCCUGUUUGGAUUGUGUCAUGAAUCACAUAUGGUGUUUAUCAAUUUAAAAGAUAAUUUUACAAGUCAAGAAAUUCGCAUUUUGUCACAAAACUAAUGACGUACAGUCUCGUUAGUGACGUCGUCUCGUUUUAAACCCGUUAUUUAAACAUUGUAGAGUUGGUCCUGUAUAUUAGCAGCUCACAGAACUGAUGAACUUCCCUUUUGUAUAACUUGUUGUCAUUAUGCACAGAUUUAUUGUGGUUUUCAGUUCAGUUUUUCUGUGUCGGGGCGGCGGCCAUGUUGGUGUUGAUGGCGAAUGGGAGGAUCUAUCGGCCUCCUUCUUCUGCUUCUCCUUCUCCCUCAGCUCCUGCUGAGUGUCUCUGAGUUGAGCUGUCAGAGAGGAAACCAUCUGACUGUGACUCUGCUGCUGGCUCUGAGCUGUGGUGAGUUUGGUGACCUCUUCACACAAGGUGGUGCUGAUUCCCUCUCUUUCCUCCAACAAGGCUGUCGGCUGAGCUCCACCCCCAGUCAACCCCUGACCAAUCAGAGAGUCAGAGAGAGCCUGGAGGAAAAUGACAUGUUACCUCAGAGUCUCCAGGGCAGCCUACAGAAAGGUCAGAGGUUGAAUCCACUGUGGCAUCACAAUAUUCUGCAAUUACAACUUUACAACAUCAGCUGUUUCAGAGAAUGUUGCAACUCUGUUCUGCUGUGUAGCAUGGAGAAAUGGGCCUCCACAGCUCCUGACCCCUGAGAACCACUGGUUGGGAACCAGCUUCACUGUCAGUAUCCAUGAUAGGAACGACGGAAGAGAAAGUCAUUAAGGCUCGUUAAAACAGUGUGUGCAUGAAUUGUAAUCGAGGACAACGAUACCUGGACUGCCACGGUGUGAUGACGCCAUCGUCUGGUCCUCCAAUAAGCACGAGCUUCUUGAUGCGCAGGAAGUUUCCCCUCCACGCUGAGGAGGAUGUGCAGGUUCUCCUCAACUUCUCAGAUCUCUGCAGAACUCCCUCCUCGUUCUCACCGUUCCAGUAGUCACAGAUAGACACUUUCUGUCCUAAUCUGUUGUAGCAAACACGGAACACUGUCCUCUUCAAGUAUUUAGGAAACACCCACCGCAGGUAGUCUGUGUCUGUGGGAUAAGAUGGCGAGAAAUUCACUGUAUUACAAACUCCCCCGGAGGACAAAGUCAUCUGGACAUGCUUCAAACAUAAAGUGAAGCUCUCUGACCUCCGUACUGUCCAGCCUGCGGUGACGACAGCGAGAUGAAGGUGUGAACGUUGUGGUCUGGCAUCGUGGAGACCAGUGCUCGACAAAUUAGACCGCCUUAGAAAGAAAGAAGGAGAUGACACAAGUUCAGCUGGACAGAAGAUUGUAAUUUUUCGACUUUUCCCCUCCAGUAUUAAACAAUCUACAGCCACCAUCGUCAAACAUUUUUAUAAUUGGUUAUAGAGCUUCAUUCUCAUUAUCGAUCUAAUCUGCCCUUUAAUUUCACAAUCAGUCUAUUCAUAGUUCAGUCAAUAACACGUCAAAAAAGAUGUGAGACUUGCUCGUCACGGUUUCUCAGAGUCCAAGCUGACGUCUUUAAAUCACCUCUUUUGUUCAACCAACUUCCAAAACCCAAAGAUUCUUAAUUUACUGAAGAAAAACAGCAAAUCCUCACAUUUAAAUAAACUGCAACCAACAAAUGUUUGAUACUAAUAUUACUAAUCAAAUUAAUAAAGGCUGAAUUCGAAUGAGCUGCUUUGGGUUUAGGGGUCCUGACACUGUGAAAGCCGGCUCAGUAUCACAAGGUUACGGCUGACUGGUGCUUACUUUAAAAAAGGACAACUGGUCACAGCUGCAGUACACACAGUGUUUACACAAGAAGAAGUACAGAUAUGAAAAGAAAUAAAAGAAUAAAAGUAAAACGUAUCCCUCUGUGGGACAUUUCUACCGGCCACUUCUGUGCAAAGCUGACUGAAGCUCACGUCAUAUCAAUAAUUCAAAGACUAUCAAACUUAAAGGUAGAAUGAGUUGGAUUUGUCUAGAAAGAUAGUUGAUUGUUGAGUUUCAUUCCCAGGACGUCAAAUACCGACAUUAUGGGCUGGUAAAGCAUCCUGGGCGCAGCAUCUUUUACAUUGUUUUGUGUUGCUAUGCGCGUGAUACACACUGAUCAGUCUCGUGAUGUUGGAAAGGCGGUGUUGACGCAAUGACGCAAAAAAAAUUAAAAAAUCAUCAAUAAUCUCUUGAAAUGCAUUAAAAUAAAAGCAACAAGCCUGAUAAUGAAAAUGUAAGUGGUGGAAACGACACAUAGUUGUGUUCAAAUGGAGGGAGGGAGGAAAAGCAAAAAGUUGUCAGGAAACUAAAAGCUCAAGUAAAGUACAGAUACCUGGAAAAAUCUACUGAAGUACAGUAACAAAGUAUUUGUACUUCUCCUCUGGUCCAGUCUGACGCUGAAAUAUUGACAAUCCUGUUUAGAAUAUGUUUUCUUCAUACAUUGCAUAAGACAUGAACAUGAAAAUGAGAUGUAAAGCUGUGAGCCAACUGGGUUUAAACAAAGUGACUUAUCUUGGUGCUACAAGUGUGGAAGAGGAAGUUGAAGGCCUGUGGUAUAAUGAUAUAUAUAUAGAGAGAUGUGUGUGUGUGUGUGUGUGUGUGUUUGUAAAUCAAGCAGGAGAGACCUUGUCAAAGCCUGAUAAGACAAUAUGCUGUUCUUAUACACUGUUGUUUCGUUAAUCUGACCUUCAUUAAACGGACACUCUGUCCCCUCUCGCUC